UUAACACAUGCAAGUCGAACGGUGAUCUCCAGCUUGCUGGGGUGAUCAGUGGCGAACGGGUGAGUAACACGUGAGUAACCUGCCCCUGACUCUGGGAUAACUGCUGGAAACGGUGGCUAAUACCGGAUAUGACGUGUGCCUGCAUGGGUGUGCGUGGAAAGUUUUUCGGUCAGGGAUGGGCUCGCGGCCUAUCAGCUUGUUGGUGGGGUGAUGGCCUACCAAGGCGACGACGGGUAGCCGGCCUGAGAGGGCGACCGGCCACACUGGGACUGAGACACGGCCCAGACUCCUACGGGAGGCAGCAGUGGGGAAUAUUGCACAAUGGGCGAAAGCCUGAUGCAGCGACGCCGCGUGAGGGAUGACGGCCUUCGGGUUGUAAACCUCUUUCAGCAGGGAAGAAGCGAGAGUGACGGUACCUGCAGAAGAAGCGCCGGCUAACUACGUGCCAGCAGCCGCGGUAAUACGUAGGGCGCAAGCGUUGUCCGGAAUUAUUGGGCGUAAAGAGCUCGUAGGCGGUGUGUCGCGUCUGCUGUGAAAUCCUCAGGCUCAACCUGGGGCUUGCAGUGGGUACGGGCACACUAGAGUGCGGUAGGGGUGACUGGAAUUCCUGGUGUAGCGGUGGAAUGCGCAGAUAUCAGGAGGAACACCGAUGGCGAAGGCAGGUCACUGGGCCGCAACUGACGCUGAGGAGCGAAAGCAUGGGGAGCGAACAGGAUUAGAUACCCUGGUAGUCCAUGCCGUA
rnacentral:rRNA from 1 species